GCAAUGGAGGUCGAGGGGACCAUGAAGAGGUGGCUCCAGCUGGCAUCAGAUCAAGAGUGUGGGUGCAAGAGAAGUCUUUUGCAAAAAGAAGCUACCAGGAAUCCUGAAGAAGGACUAGCGCAUUGGAGCGGUCGUGCUGCACGUGGGGGCAAACAUCAGGCUGUGGCAGGCGGAGGUUCUGAAGAGGGACUUCUCCAGCCUGAUCGAGACGGUACGAGGCAGAUCACCCACCGCGAAGAUCAUCGUCUCUGGACCUCUUCCCUCAUACAGAGGUGGAGCAGAAAGGCUCAGUAGACUUCUUGCUUUGAAUGACUGGUUAGUUUCUUGGUGUAAUGAACAGAAUCUGCUGUUUGUUAAUAACUGGAAUCUGUUCUGGGAUCGGAACUGCUGUCAGACAACAUCUCCAAGACGCUACAGACCAAGUGACUGUCUACCGUCAAAUUAUUCAUAAACAUGGAAUGAAUUUCCACUGUUAUGCUGAUGAUACAGAGCUGUAUGUUUGCAACUGAACAAUAACAACAAUAAACAACAACUGAAGAAUAGCGAAAAACUUCAACUGUUUUCGUGCUUACUUGAAGACGAUGAGGCAGAGCAGCAUCGGAGAGACAGUUCGCUUCAUUCUCCAAAGAAUCGGGGAGAACAGCCUGUGGUGUAUGUUUUCGUUGAAAGUGUCAAAAGGUGGGAAGCUGGCUUUGACUGAUCAGGAUGAAGUGUGUCGCCUUGUACACUAUAUUGCCAAACAAGCACAUGGACGUGAAUAUACUGUUGCCGGUUGCAGAGAGGCCAUCGGCAGCUACCUAAAAAAUGCCCCAGGCAGGAAAAGUGGCAAGAAACAUAUUAUGAGUGUUUAUGAUGAAGCAGAGCUACGUGGGAUCUCCAGUGCGUCCUGCAAGAAUUGGGCCUGAGUCCAGUUCAGAUUCAAUUUUGUAAUCUCAUUCCUCUCCCUCGCGUGACAGCCUCCAAACAGUACAAUUCUAAUGAGCUUGAAUAUACGGGGAAUUCCAUUGGGUUUGAUGUCUGACUAAUUAAAGACCAACCUCUUCUAUGAACACCUAACCAACUCAUAAUAAAAAAAAAAUUAUUUAAAAAAAAAAAAUGCACUUACACCUCUAGUCUGCACUUUGCUUCUUCUAGAAUUCAAUUAAUAGAUCUUGUAUGGUAGCUGCUCUUGUAUUGUUCUCUGCUUGAUAUAUCGCUUUGCUUGUAUCUUUCUUAUUUGUAAGUCGCUUUGGAUAAAAGUGUCUGCUAAGUGAAUAAAUGUAAUGUAAAUGUAAUAAAUUGUUUUCUUUGAUUAGCAAUACAUAGGUACUAUAUCUGGCUGUUUUGUGUGUUGCAAUAUUGAAUGUCAUUUUUCAGCUAUUCACUUUGUCUGCAUUUACUAAAAUUCAUGCAUGUUUAUUAAAAAUAUUCAAGGAGUUUGUUAAACUAUAUAAUUUUUGUCUAUCAUUCAUAAGAUUCAUCAUGGGAAUUCCAUAGACCAGAAUCUAACAUCCACAUUAUUGAAGCAUUGUUUAAUUAUAGAUUUUUUAAAGCGUGCGGUAUGUUAUAUGCUUUAAUUGUAUCUUGCCACAUAAUGUUGGAAAAUGAGUACUUGUGUACUUUUCAAGAAAUUAGAUACAAAAAGAAUUACACAUAUCUGAUUAGAAAAAAUAGCAUCGUAAUGUGU